rnacentral:rRNA from 1 species
UACGUAGGGUGCAAGCGUUAUCCGGAUUUAUUGGGCGUAAAGGGCUCGUAGGCGGUUCGUCGCGUCCGGUGUGAAAGUCCAUCGCUUAACGGUGGAUCCGCGCCGGGUACGGGCGGGCUUGAGUGCGGUAGGGGAGACUGGAAUUCCCGGUGUAACGGUGGAAUGUGUAGAUAUCAGGAGGAACACCGGCGGCGAAGGCGGCUUACUGGACGGCAACUGACGUUGAGGCCCGAAAGCGUGGGGAGCGAACAGG